CAAGCGCAUAAUUAAUCAACAUGCUGAGGCGUGUUCGGAUUCCCAUCUGGGUGUUGUGUCACUCUUGUUUAACAUUCGGUAAAUUACAAGAAUGUGUGAUACCUGGGUAGCACUCGGGUGAAAUCUAAAUAUAAUCCUGAAGAUUCCGCCGUUGCUUGCGCGUACAGCUGGCCACAGAAAAAUUGCAACACUUUUUUUCGAUGGGUUUCGGAAUGCAGCUUGCUCACCGAGCGAUUCUUAUUUAUAGAUCUAUGAGUAAGAACUAGAGACUCUAAAAAGAGAGAGACUCGUCAACUCAUCACGUGACUAUGGGUGAUCCUAAUUGGCUGGAGUCUGGAUUGCACAUCUGUGCUCCAUGAAUAUGUACGAUAACUUGACAAAAUACGUUACGUAUGUUGAAGCAGCUUGUGUUGCCUUUUGACUAUUUUUAAUUUGAAUUUUUAUGUAUUUUGGAGAUGCCACAUACAUGUUGUGCAGAGAGAUGUUUCAAUAAAUCCAGUGAUGGAUAUACAUUAGAUUUCCCAAGUAAAUCAAUAUCGAAAAGCAUGGAUAGAUGCUGUUUUUGGAUCAAGAUAUGGAUAAUCUGAUAUUAUAUGAAGUAUUAAUAGUUAUAACGAAAGUAAUACAAAAUAAACAUAACGGAAAAGCAGAAAAUAAUUUUAUUAAAUUAUAUGAGAGACAAUGAAGAUUUUGCAAGAAGCUGCUUACAUUACAGCAAUGGCAAUAAAAAAAUAUUAAAUAAUAUGUGGGCUUCCAUCACUAUACCCUUAAAUGCUAUUGGAAAUGGACCUUAAAAGCAAGCAAAAGAAUGGCGAAAGACAUGAAACUGAAAAGCAAAUGUGCUAAAAAAGUCACAAAAUCAAAAUUACGCUAGUGGUACAGGUGGAGGAAAGUACCAUCAAAAGUACUUCAGUUAACAGAAGAAAGUUUAUUGGAAAUCAUAGAUCCAGAAGCUACUAGUUUGGAUGAUAUAUACCUGAAGGAGGAAAUUUUAAUAGGACAAUACAGAAGGAUCUGUAUCUACUAAUAAUAUAAUCCCAAAAAGGGAAUUCUUUCAUACUUCUAAAGGAUUGUACAAAACCACUGCGCAAGAAAUCGAAUUAAGAAAACCACUUUUAUCUAAUUUUCUACAAAUGAAAAGGAAACAUACUUCUAUAUUGGAUACUAGCAAUAAAAUGUGUAAGAUGGAUGACAAUCAAAUCUCCAUCAAUAUCCGCAAGCGAACUUCUUGACGACACAGAUUUUUCAACACGAUUAAGUAAAAUCAGUAUAUAUUCUUUAUUAGGAAAUAGAAUGUUUAUGUGUUAUAAUAAAAAAAUAAAAAUGAACAUUUACAGGAAAUGGAAAGCAAUAUUUCUAAACAUAAUGUUUUUGAAUCUGACAAUAAAUCUUUUGAAUCUGCUCUUGAAUUUAAUGACAUUAUUUUCAUAGAUGAAAAUACGAAUACCAUAUCACCUGAGGUCAAUUCUAAACGUUAUCAAGCGCAAGACAAAGUUAUCAAUAGUAAUAAAGAAAAUAAUUCCAGUAUAGCUGUACAAUUAAUGCGUGAGAAUAUGAAAAUGAAAUAAGAAAAAUUGAAGAUUUUUUCUUUAAAGAAAAAUUACUUUUA